rnacentral:lncRNA from 1 species
UGUUGUAUUUAAGAAUGAACCUACUCGAGUCUCGGGUGCUAAAGUGGUUGUCUCUUGGAAUCUCAGAAAAAUCAAAUUUGGGUUAAAACACUUGACUUGUGCAGAAUAAAGGGCAAGAUUACUUUCAAAUCAAUAUAUUGAGAAGUCCAUUCUCUUAUUCUGAGGAUUCUACUUGAUUACAGUUCAAGAUUGAAUGUUUCUUUGAACUGGUGAAUGAGGAGAGACAUAUUUGAAAGCUAUGAAUUCAUUUACUUAUGGAGUAAACUGGCCUACUGACCUGAAUCAUAUUGAUGGAAAGAAAGUGAAGGGACUUGAAGGGAUAUAAGUCAUUAUUGGAAUAAUAUAACCAACUUCUUGGUGAUUUAAUAAAGGAUAAUCGUGGAAUAUUUCCUUGGGUCUGAGAUGGGCACUUUAUUCAUCUUUAGAGAGGUAAUUAAAUGUCUUUGAAUUUAUAUUUAUGUAGUACAUAAAAAAAUGAAAAAUAAAAGCUCUGAAUUACAUUUAGUGAUGACUUAGAUGACGAGACUGAGAUUUUUGGUGGAGUAGUCUAUAUAUUGACGUUCUGUCGAUUUAGAUGAUGCCAUCAAAAUCGCUUGUUUGAUUGACAAACGAGGCAUUUGUCUGAAAUUAAUUUUGAGCUUUUUCAAAUUUUUACUUUUAUUUUAAGUUUUACUUUAGUUCUUUUUCUCAUUACUAAAGAAUUUUUUUUUCUUCUUUUUAUAGGAGAAUUUAUUUUAUACAGAAGACAUCGUUUCCUAUUAAUUUAGAAGACUUGAAGAGAUAAAAGAUAUAAAAUAAUGCUCAAGAUAGAAGUACCUUUCUAUGUAGGAAUAUUUAAGAGGUAUGCCAUUCAUUACUUAUUUUGAUGAGGUUUUUAUUUCGUCUCUUGGACCCAACGUUCCUUAAAUUUCAUGGAAAAGAUUGGUAUCUCUAUGACGAUAGAUAAAUCUUCAGUUUUGUCAUAGUUGGUCAGGAUCAUUUAUGCCAUUGACUUGACCUCUCCAACAUCACAUACAAUUCCUUAAAAUAUCACUGGUUUUCAAGUGAUUAUUUAUAGUUCUUCUUUUUGCUUUUAGGAUAUGGAGAAAGGAAACUUCAAGAUAAUCAGGAUGAUCAUAAGGAGUCUGAUGUUAGGAAGUUAAUUAAGGCUACAAAGAUGAAAGAGAAAAGAAUUCGGAAGGCAUUUAGAGAGGUCUGUCUCAAGGAAAAAAUAAAGUUACAAGCAAGGAGCUAGAAUUGAAGUCAAAUGGUGGAAGAGGAAUCUGAGAAGGGAAUAAAUAAAAGAGGCCGGUCUUACAUAUCACUAGGAACUUAAAUAAGAUAGGAUGAAGCUUGCUCCUCGAGAUGCAUAACGGGCAAGGAUUACAUACAAAAAUGGCUCGAAAAAUAAAAGUGAAGAAGCAUGCAAGGAUUUUUCUUAUAUAUUCCUCUUCUACUCAG